rnacentral:rRNA from 1 species
GGGUUGUGAGGUUAAGCGACUAAGCGUACACGGUGGAUGCCCUGGCAGUCAGAGGCGAUGAAGGGCGUGCUAAUCUGCGAUAAGCGCCGGUAAGGUGAUAUGAACCGUUAUAACCGGCGAUACCCGAAUGGGGAAACCCAGUGUGAUUCGUCACACUAUCAUUAACUGAAUCCAUAGGUUAAUGAGGCGAACCGGGGGAACUGAAACAUCUAAGUACCCCGAGGAAAAGAAAUCAACCGAGAUUCCCCCAGUAGCGGCGAGCGAACGGGGAGGAGCCCAGAGCCUGAAUCAGCAUGUGUGUUAGUGGAAGCGUCUGGAAAGGUGCGCGAUACAGGGUGACAGCCCCGUACACAAAAGCGCAUGUGCUGUGAGCUCGAUGAGUAGGGCGGGACACGUGAUAUCCUGUCUGAAUAUGGGGGGACCAUCCUCCAAGGCUAAAUACUCCUGACUGACCGAUAGUGAACCAGUACCGUGAGGGAAAGGCGAAAAGAACCCCGGCGAGGGGAGUGAAAAAGAACCUGAAACCGUGUACGUACAAGCAGUGGGAGCACAGGUUUACCUGUGUGACUGCGUACCUUUUGUAUAAUGGGUCAGCGACUUAUAUUCUGUAGCAAGGUUAACCGUAUAGGGGAGCCGUAGGGAAACCGAGUCUUAACCGGGCGUUAAGUUGCAGGGUAUAGACCCGAAACCCGGUGAUCUAGCCAUGGGCAGGUUGAAGGUUGGGUAACACUAACUGGAGGACCGAACCGACUAAUGUUGAAAAAUUAGCGGAUGACCUGUGGCUGGGGGUGAAAGGCCAAUCAAACCGGGAGAUAGCUGGUUCUCCCCGAAAGCUAUUUAGGUAGCGCCUCGUGAAUUCAUCUCCGGGGGUAGAGCACUGUUUCGGCUAGGGGGCCAUCCCGGCUUACCAACCCGAUGCAAACUGCGAAUACCGGAGAAUGUUAUCACGGGAGACACACGGCGGGUGCUAACGUCCGUCGUGAAGAGGGAAACAACCCAGACCGCCAGCUAAGGUCCCAAAGUCAUGGUUAAGUGGGAAACGAUGUGGGAAGGCCCAGACAGCCAGGAUGUUGGCUUAGAAGCAGCCAUCAUUUAAAGAAAGCGUAAUAGCUCACUGGUCGAGUCGGCCUGCGCGGAAGAUGUAACGGGGCUAAACCAUGCACCGAAGCUGCGGCAGCGAACGUAUCACCCAAGACAACUUUACGGAGUUGACGAUUGACGGAGCGAAGCGACGUCAAAGCGUUCAUUAAAGUCGAGUUGGCUUAGGGAUACGUUCGUUGGGUAGGGGAGCGUUCUGUAAGCCUGUGAAGGUGUGUCGUGAGGCAUGCUGGAGGUAUCAGAAGUGCGAAUGCUGACAUAAGUAACGAUAAAGCGGGUGAAAAGCCCGCUCGCCGGAAGACCAAGGGUUCCUGUCCAACGUUAAUCGGGGCAGGGUGAGUCGACCCCUAAGGCGAGGCCGAAAGGCGUA